UUCUCUCCUUAAAUCAUUUAUCUUAUUUCCUUAUUGUUUUUAGUCUGAGGGUCUAGUUGGUUGUGAAGAAUCUAUAGGAAAAAAGAGAUGGAAACUUUAUGGGAGACUUUACAACAAAAAAAAAAAAAAAGUUUGGGUUUUUUGGGCUGUUGGACGUAUGCUAUUCUAGAAUAUGUUAGCAUACAAAUGGAGCAAAUGCCUUUGGAUGGUUAAAUUUUGAAGCUUGUGAUGUGGGUUUUCUUUAAUUUCCUUUAUCUUGUUAUAUCUUGAAUGCUUUCUUAUCUGAUAUCAUAUUCAUUUCUUAAUUUCCUUUACUUAAUUACAAAUGUUUUUGCUUUUAAUUUUAAUUUUUCUUUGAUUGUUUGUUGCAAAAUCUGGUAUAUAUUGGCUGAGUAAGAUAUCUUCCCUUUGCUCAAUUUAGUCAAUAAAAAGAUAAUAUUGAUUUCUAUCAUAAUUUGUCUAUUGUUAAGUUAUACACGCACCUGAUGGAUCUUGAACCCUCUGAUCUCACCCUCCACCUUGCCCAUACAAGGGAAUGCGGUGCUAUUUUAGCUAGACUUUAUUGGCAUAUUGAUUCUCAUCAUAAUGUGAAUACUUUGAUUGCAAUACGCUUACAUUGGGGGUUCUGCACCUGGCCUUUAUAGAAUACUUGACUGCAAUGCUUCAAUUAUUGUUAGCCAUGCCUUGUGGUAUAGAAUCUUACAUUUUUCAGAAAAAGAGAAACUGAGUGCUAAGGUGAACAAGUGGCAAAGACAGUUUGUGUGGAGUUAGAAUGGAUGCGUCCAUACAAGGGGUGAGGUGGUAGGAGGUUAUUCUAAUGAUUUGGCUAUGUCCAAUGAAGACCCAGGUGAGGGGAGGAUCAUACAAGGUUCGAAGAAGCUUGUGUGCUUAAGUGUGAUUGAUGCUAUUACCAAUCCUGCAUAGGAUGAAAGAUAUGACCUGUUCUUAGUAGGUAAAACAUAGUCUUGGAGUAGAGGACAUAGUUUUAGAAUUUAACGUUAGAACAUCUUUUCUGGGAUAAGAUUUAGCAGUUUCUGUUCUAUGAAGACACAAAUCAGUGGAAGGAUUUACAUUUAAAGAGAAAACCAGGGAAUUGGCAAAAUGGUUAUUGUGUGUAGCAUGUUUGUCUAAAGAAAUUUUUUUGUAAAGAAACUAUUUGCAUAUGAAAAAGAAGCAUAGUACUUAAACCCC